UUUGGUGAUUAUAGCGAAGUGGAUACACCUGUUCCCAUCUCGAACACAGAAGUUAAGCACUUCAGCGCUGAUGAUAGUGGGUUCGCCCUGCGAAAGUAGGUCGUCGCCAAGC
rnacentral:rRNA from 1 species